rnacentral:lncRNA from 1 species
AACUCACCUGGAGGUGCAUUUCUCAGAUGCGUCUCCUCUGGGUGUAACUCGCUGCUUUAAUCUCCAGCACCAGAAACAAACUAACACGGGAAUGUGCAUCUCUUCAUAAAGCAACGCGAGAUUGUGAACAAUGACCAUGCGCCAUUGUAUAGAUGAGGAAGCGCAUGCGCUUGGAGAGGCGGCCCGCUCAGCCCAGGUACAGGCAGAGGCAGAGCCAGGGACGGACCACAUGCAGCUCAUCCUUCCGGGGCUUCGCUGGGCAACAAUCAACCUGCUAACACGGUUUGUAUAAAAAGUGUGCUCUAGACUCCAGAAAGAUGAGGGAGUUUAGAACAUCAUUCACGAAGGAGAAGAUGGGAAUCACCUUACGAUACGGUUUUUCCACUUAGAAAUCAAAGCAAUGCAAUUAAACCAUUCACUAAAGAGCCGAGGUUGCAAGGUAAUAUCGUUACAGUUACCCUAUCCCUUACCCUCUGGCUAUCAAGGGUCUUUAUAGCCUAUAAUAGACCCCGGAGCCUGCUACUUCAAAUCCAGACAAGAACUGACUUCGUGCAUGGGUGACCCACAGGCGGCUGCUAAUUCCCAGUCAUCCCAGCAGGAAUUGUGGUACGAAGUACCAAAAAGGAAGAAACAUGAUCGUCCCAGGACAAGGCCAAUUCAUUUAGAAACCACUGCUUUGGGAAUUAAUGGGAUUCCCGUGGUAAUGACCUUUCCCACUUCUGUAAUAUGAAUUUUCACAACGUGAAAAUCCAAUUCCCUCUCUGUGUUUAUGAAAGCCAUUCCUUUCAAACAGCUGAAGCAACAAAGACAGCCAAAAGCACUUCGCAGCUGUCCAACUGGAGAUUUAUAUGGCACAUAAACAUAAAGAAGCAUUAUGUAACCCUAAGCUGUGGGCCAGGACUCUCAGAAAUCGAAGCGGAAUCCAAGGCUUGCUUCACCCCUGCAAUUCCCAGCACUGGACCAAUGAAAAACUCCCCGGGAUUCUGCCACCUUUUCUGGAAAGUGAGGAAACACUUGCUUCAUAAGGUAGCAAUAAAUCCUGAAAAGGACCCAUGGCUUGGAAUGUCAGGGUUUCCACCCAGCAUGUGCAAAAGAACCAGCCGGUCACACAACAGGUGCAGGCCUGUGAUCCUCGCGACUUCCUGUUGCCCACUCACUUCUGCACACGCUGGUACAGCAAGUGGCUUGACACCUACAGGUUCCUAAGCAUCCUAGGAAGGGAAGCGUUGCUACAUUCACUUUUUCCUUUUUUGUGGAGCUGGCAAUGGUGCACUCCAAGCCCUAGAUUUCACUCCCUCAACCCCACC